rnacentral:rRNA from 1 species
UCGAACGGCAGCGCGGGGCAACCUGGCGGCGAGUGGCGAACGGGUGAGUAAUAUAUCGGAACGUACCCAGAAGUGGGGGAUAACGUAGCGAAAGUUACGCUAAUACCGCAUACGAUCUACGGAUGAAAGUGGGGGACCUUCGGGCCUCAUGCUUGUGGAGCGGCCGAUAUCUGAUUAGCUAGUUGGUAGGGUAAAGGCCUACCAAGGCAACGAUCAGUAGCUGGUCUGAGAGGACGACCAGCCACACUGGGACUGAGACACGGCCCAGACUCCUACGGGAGGCAGCAGUGGGGAAUUUUGGACAAUGGGCGCAAGCCUGAUCCAGCAAUGCCGCGUGAGUGAAGAAGGCCUUCGGGUUGUAAAGCUCUUUUGUCAGGGAAGAAACGGCUCGAGCUAAUAUCUGGGGCUAAUGACGGUACCUGAAGAAUAAGCACCGGCUAACUACGUGCCAGCAGCCGCGGUAAUACGUAGGGUGCAAGCGUUAAUCGGAAUUACUGGGCGUAAAGCGUGCGCAGGCGGUUUUGUAAGUCUGAUGUGAAAGCCCCGGGCUCAACCUGGGAAUUGCAUUGGAGACUGCAAGGCUUGAAUCUGGCAGAGGGGGGUAGAAUUCCACGUGUAGCAGUGAAAUGCGUAGAGAUGUGGAGGAACACCGAUGGCGAAGGCAGCCCCCUGGGUCAAGAUUGACGCUCAUGCACGAAAGCGUGGGGAGCAAACAGGAUUAGAUACCCUGGUAGUCCACGCCCUAAACGAUGUCUACUAGUUGUCGGGUUUUAAUUAACUUGGUAACGCAGCUAACGCGUGAAGUAGACCGCC